rnacentral:rRNA from 1 species
CCUACGGGUGGCAGCAGUAGGGAAUCUUUCACAAUGGGCGAAAGCCUGAUGGAGUAACGCCGCGUGCAGGAUGAAGGCCUUCGGGUUGUAAACUGCUUUUAUAAGCGAGAAAUAUGAUGGUAACUUAUGAAUAAGGAUCGGCUAACUACGUUCCAGCAGCCGCGGUCAUACGUAGGAUCCGAGCAUUAUCCGGAGUGACUGGGUGUAAAGAGUUGCGUAGGUGGCAUAAUAAGUAGCUAGUGAAAUCUGGUGGCUCAACCAUUCAGACUAUUAGCUAAACUGUUAAGCUCGAGAACGUUAAGGGUAACUGGAAUUUCUGGUGUAGGAGUGAAAUGCGUAGAUAUUAGAAGGAACACCGAUAGCGUAGGCAGGUUACUGGGACGGUUCUGACACUAAGGCACGAAAGCGUAGGGAGCAAACGGGAUUAGAUACCCUUGUAGUC